rnacentral:rRNA from 1 species
CCUACGGGAGGCAGCAGUGAGGAAUAUUGGUCAAUGGGCGCGCGCCUGAACCAGCCAAGUAGCGUGAAGGAUGACUGCCCUACGGGUUGUAAACUUCUUUUAUAAAGGCAUAAAGUGAGUCACGUGUGCCUUUUUGUAUGUACUUUAUGCAUAAGCAUCGGCUAACUCCGUGCCAGCAGCCGCGGUAAUACGGAGGAUACGAGCGUUAUCCGGAUUUAUUGGGUUUAAAGGGUGCGUAGGCGGCCUUUUAAGUCAGCGGGGAAAGUCUGUGGCUCAACCCUAGACUUGCCGGUGACACUGGGAGUCUUGAGUAUGUGUGAGGCAGGCGGAAUGCGUGGUGUAGCGGUGAAAUGCUUAGAUAUCACGCAGAACCCAGAUUGCGAAGGCAGCCUGCCAAGCCAUGACUGACGCUGAUGCACGAAAGCGUGGGGAUCAAACAGGAUUAGAUACCCUAGUAGUC